GUGUGCAGUACCCUACUUCACAGAAUCUCGAUCAUGUCUAAAUAAAUAUGAUCGAAUCCUAUGAAGUAGAGUAAUGCAUGA
rnacentral:pre_miRNA from 1 species